ACCCGCUGAACUUAAGCAUAUCAAUAAGCGGAGGAAAAGAAACCAACAGGGAUUGCCCUAGUAACGGCGAGUGAAGCGGCAACAGCUCAAAUUUGAAAUCUGGCCUCGGCCCGAGUUGUAAUUUGCAGAGGAUGCUUCUGGCGCGGUGCCUUCCGAGUUCCCUGGAACGGGACGCCAAAGAGGGUGAGAGCCCCGUAUGGUCGGACACCAAGCCUGUGUGAAGCUCCUUCGACGAGUCGAGUAGUUUGGGAAUGCUGCUCUAAAUGGGAGGUAAAUCUCUUCUAAAGCUAAAUACCGGCCAGAGACCGAUAGCGCACAAGUAGAGUGAUCGAAAGAUGAAAAGCACCUUGAAAAGGGGGUUAAAUAGUACGUGAAAUUGUUGAAAGGGAAGCACUUGUGACCAGACUUGGGCCGGGCGGCUCAUCAGGGGUUCUCCCCUGUGCACUCCGCCCGGCACAGGCCAGCAUCGGUUUUCGCGGGGGGACAAGACCGUCAGGAACGUGGCACCCUCCGGGGUGUGUUAUAGCCUGGCGGACGAUACCCCCGCGGGGACCGAGGCCCGCGCUCCGCAAGGAUGCUGGCGUAAUGGUCACCAGUGACCCGUCUUGAAACACGGACCAAGGAGUCGUCCAUUAGAGCGAGCGUUUGGGUGUAAAACCCGCACGCGUAAUGAAAGUGAACGCAGGUGAGAGCUUCGGCGCAUCAUCGACCGAUCCUGAUGUUCUCGGAAGGAUUUGAGUAAGAGUUUUAACGGACGGACCCGAAAGACAGUGAACUAUGCUUGUAUAGGGUGAAGCCAGAGGAAACUCUGGUGGAGGCUCGCAGCGGUUCUGACGUGCAAAUCGAUCGUCAAAUAUGAGCAUGGGGGCGAAAGACUAAUCGAACUGUCUAGUAGCUGGUUACCGCCGAAGUUUCCCUCAGGAUAGCAGUGUUGAUCUUCAGUUUUAUGAGGUAAAGCGAAUGAUUAGGGACUCGGGGGCUAUAUAUUGCCUUCAUCCAUUCUCAAACUUUAAAUAUGUAAGAAGCCCUUGUUACUUAGUUGAACGUGGGCAUUCGAAUGUACCAACACUAGUGGGCCAUUUUUGGUAAGCAGAACUGGCGAUGCGGGAUGAACCGAACGCGGGGUUAAGGCGCCAGAGUGUACGCUCAUCAGACACCACAAAAGGCGUUAGUACAUCUUGACAGCAGGACGGUGGCCAUGGAAGUCGGAAUCCGCUAAGGACUGUGUAACAACUCACCUGCCGAAUGUACUAGCCCUGAAAAUGGAUGGCGCUCAAGCGUACCGCCCAUACCCCGCCCCCAGGGUAGAAACGAUGCCCUGGGGAGUAGGCGGCCGUGGGGGUCUGUGACGAAGCCUAGGGCGUGAGCCCGGGUCGAACGGCCCCUAGUGCAGAUCUUGGUGGUAGUA
rnacentral:rRNA from 1 species